rnacentral:piRNA from 1 species
UGAACAGAUUUCCUUCCCUGCCCUUGA